rnacentral:rRNA from 1 species
ACGCAAGUCUGAUGGAGCAACGCCGCGUGAGUGAAGAAGGGUUUCGGCUCGUAAAGCUCUGUUGGUAGUGAAGAAAGAUAGAGGUAGUAACUGGCCUUUAUUUGACGGUAAUUACUUAGAAAGUCACGGCUAACUACGUGCCAGCAGCCGCGGUAAUACGUAGGUGGCAAGCGUUGUCCGGAUUUAUUGGGCGUAAAGCGAGUGCAGGCGGUUCAAUAAGUCUGAUGUGAAAGCCUUCGGCUCAACCGGAGAAUUGCAUCAGAAACUGUUGAACUUGAGUGCAGAAGAGGAGAGUGGAACUCCAUGUGUAGCGGUGGAAUGCGUAGAUAUAUGGAAGAACACCAGUGGCGAAGGCGGCUCUCUGGUCUGCAACUGACGCUGAGGCUCGAAAGCAUGGGUAGCGAACAGGAUUAGAUACCCUGGUAGUCCAUGCCGUAAACGAUGAGUGCUAAGUGUUGGGAGGUUUCCGCCUCUCAGUGCUGCAGCUAACGCAUUAAGCACUCCGCCUGGGGAGUACGACCGCAAGGUUGAAACUCAAAGGAAUUGACGGGGGCCCGCACAAGCGGUGGAGCAUGUGGUUUAAUUCGAAGCAACGCGAAGAACCUACCAGGUCUUGACAUCCAGUGCAAACCUAAG